rnacentral:tRNA from 1 species
GUUGUGACUCAGUGGUAGAGCACUUGCCUAGCACGUGUGAGGCCCUGGUUUCGAUCCUCAGCAUCACA